rnacentral:rRNA from 1 species
GAUGAACGCUGGCGGCGUGCCUAAUACAUGCAAGUCGAGCGAACGGACGAGAAGCUUGCUUCUCUGAUGUUAGCGGCGGACGGGUGAGUAACACGUGGAUAACCUACCUAUAAGACUGGGAUAACUUCGGGAAACCGUAGCUAAUACCGGAUAAUAUUUUGAACCGCAUGGUUCAAAAGUGAAAGACGGUCUUGCUGUCACUUAUAGAUGGAUCCGCGCUGCAUUAGCUAGUUGGUAAGGUAACGGCUUACCAAGGCAACGAUGCCUAGCCGACCUGAGAGGGUGAUCGGCCACACUGGAACUGAGACACGGUCCAGACUCCUACGGGAGGCAGCAGUAGGGAAUCUUCCGCAAUGGGCGAAAGCCUGACGGAGCAACGCCGCGUGAGUGAUGAAGGUCUUCGGAUCGUAAAACUCUGUUAUUAGGGAAGAACAUAUGUGUAAGUAACUAUGCACAUCUUGACGGUACCUAAUCAGAAAGCCACGGCUAACUACGUA